AUGGCUGCGCCAGGCGCCCCCUGCGUCGACCACGGGCGCCGUCCGAGGACCAACCACAAGGUGAUCGCCUCCACCCCUGAGCUGGAGGAGCAGAUCUUCCUGCUGCAGCAGCACGCGGUGGUAGUCACCGCGGUGAGCAAGCUGCACGCGGCCAGUCCCCUCUCCAUCGGCCGCGCCAUCGAGCGGGAGUUCCAGAUCCCCCCGCACCUCCUUCGCGUCACCAGCAACGAUCCGGAGGACUUCUUCAUCCACUUCACCCUGCCGGCGCAUAAAGACACCGUCGUCCGGCGGGGAUCGAUCGUGGUGGAUGGCGUCUCCUUCCUGCUGGAGCCAUGGAGGGAGGACACGCAUGCCAUCCACGACACCUGGAUGCUGCAUGUCCGUGUCGUCAUGGAGAAGCUGCCGAUGCCGCUCUGGACGCUGGAGGGCGCGUAGGAGGUGCUGGGCAACGCGGUCAUCAUCGACCGCCUCGACAGCCGUACGUUCGAGCGCGCGGACACGAAGCUGUUCGCUGUCUGGGUGUGG
rnacentral:rRNA from 1 species